rnacentral:piRNA from 1 species
UAACUGGUGUACUUCCUGUGUGUUGAAUGA